CCUACGGGAGGCUGCAGUGGGGAAUAUUGCACAAUGGGGGAAACCCUGAUGCAGCGACGCCGCGUGAGUGAAGAAGUAAUUCGUUACGUAAAGCUCUAUCAGCAGGGAAGAAACACUGACCUUACGGACAGCAGACGGUACCUGAGUACGAAGCCCCGGCUAACUACGUGCCAGCAGCCGCGGGAAUACGUAGGUGGCAAGCGUUAUCCGGAUUUACUGGGUGUAAAGGGAGCGUAGACGGUGCGCCAAGUCUGAAGUGAAAUGCCGCGGCUUAACUGCGGAACUGCUUUGGAAACUGGCGAACUAGAGUGCGGGAGGGGUAAGCGGAAUUCCUAGUGUAGCGGUGAAAUGCGUAGAUAUUAGGAGGAACACCGGUGGCGAAGGCGGCUUACUGGACCGUAACUGACGUUGAGGCUCGAAAGCGUGGGGAGCAAACAGGAUUAGAUACCCGGGUAGUC
rnacentral:rRNA from 1 species